UACGGAGGGUGCGAGCGUUGUCCGGAAUUAUUGGGCGUAAAGAGCUCGUAGGCGGCUUGUCGCGUCGACUGUGAAAUCCCGCGGCUCAACUGCGGGUCUGCAGCCGAUACGGGCAGGCUAGAGUUCGGUAGGGGAGACUGGAAUUCCUGGUGUAGCGGUGAAAUGCGCAGAUAUCAGGAGGAACACCGGUGGCGAAGGCGGGUCUCUGGGCCGAUACUGACGCUGAGGAGCGAAAGCGUGGGGAGCGAACAGG
rnacentral:rRNA from 1 species